UACGGAAGGUCCGGGCGUUAUCCGGAUUUAUUGGGUUUAAAGGGAGCGCAGGCUGGCGAUUAAGCGUGACGUGAAAUGUCCCGGCUCAACCGGGGAGUUGCGUCGCGAACUGGUUGUCUUGAGUGCGGACGAGGCAUGCGGAAUUCGUGGUGUAGCGGUGAAAUGCUUAGAUAUCACGAGGAACCCCGAUUGCGAAGGCAGCGUGCCAGGCCGUAACUGACGCUAAUGCUCGAAGGUGCGGGUAU
rnacentral:rRNA from 1 species